rnacentral:misc_RNA from 1 species
UAUGUUUACAAAAACUGCUCAAAUUUCAUGUACAUAUAUCAAUAAAUAAUAUGUCAAUUUGAUAAAAGUAUUUUUUAUAUAAAUAAGGAAACUAAUACAAUAAAAUGACUCCCAAUCUUGGUGGAUGGAUUCAUAGCUUCACAGUUACGGACACGCUAACCCAUAAAGCCGGUUAUACUAUAUACAAAAUUACUUCAAUCGUAUUUCCAAGGGCUCUUCCUCAAGCUCUAACCUGCUUAACAAUUUGGAAACGUUUUCAUGAUAUAAAACGUUUACAUCGAGAGCUAUCACGUCGACAUCGUAGUCUAAAAUUGCCAGGGCAGCUUCCUGAACCUACAGAUUGUAGUUUUUUCAAACGGUUCGACCCAAAUGUUAUAUGUCGGCGAAAGGAAUACAUAUUGCAGCUACUGGAUUUUGCUGCUCAACAUCCAGCGCUCUACAAAUGUCACGCAUUCACACAGUUCUUUAGUGAAGCACAACAAACCGUAGUGGGAGGAGUUGCAAACAGUGGUCAAAAUAACUUAAAAGCCACAACCAAGGCAUCACCGUUGCAUCAAUUGUAUACCGGAGAGGGUCUUAAAGGUGGGGCGAUAGCGGAAAUAUGUGAUAAACUUGAUUUACUUUACGACCCUUAUGAUAUAGACGUUAGCAUCGCCUCACUUGAUCCCUUGAACACAAAAUUGGAAAAUAUAGAUGAACAGAACACUGUUGGCGUAAAACCAUAUUUAAACGAUUGUGGUAGUAACUCACUGACAUUAGAUUUGGAAAAUGCAAGUAAACCAAAAUUAAACGAUCAUGAUAGCUUGGAGGAGACUCCUUGCAAAGAUUACAAACGUUUUCUAACGCCUAUGGCUUCAAUUGAAAGUGAAGAUAGCGACUAUAUUUAUGAAGCAGCAUUAGAAUUUAGUAAAGCAGUUCAAGCCGAAGCAAAUUUAGAAUUUCAGGAGGCUCAUGCGCGUUAUAAACGUGGUGUUGAAGUAUUGUUGAUUGGGUCGAAAGAUGAUACCAAUGAUGAUCGUAAAUUCAUUGCAAAAGCUAAAAUUUCAAAAUAUCUUGCACGAGCAGACGACAUAUAUGAGAAAAUUUUGACUAAUAAUACCAAAGUUGGAGUUUGGCACGGUACAAGAAAUUUUCAGUUAUCUAUCGAUGUGACAGAGUGCACAGUUGACGGCAAACUUUCUGUAUAUCUCGAACGUCCAUGGAACCACUUGGCCAAAUAUAAAGUCUUGAAAAUUCUAGGGGAGAGUGUAAUGCAGGUUUAUUGUGUAACUGAACCUGAACCCCGAACAACAUAUGUGAUGAAAGGCAUUGAAAAACCAUCCAGUAAUGUACCUACACAAACCGUUUUUUUGCCACAACACGUACCUUUUAUGGUAGAUCUAUUGGCAUUCUUUCAGUCAGAACAGAAAAUCUUCUUACUAUUAAAUCAUGCGGAAGGUGGGCGUCUGUAUGACUAUGUGCGCUCAUAUACACCGACAGUAGCGUCGAGAGGAAGUAAUUAUUUCUCCGCUUUAUUUCCGGACGAUGUGGAUUCUCAAACAUCAAAUAUCACCAAUGCUUCGGCAGUUGUUGCGGAAAGCUUUUGUAGCGACAAUAACGGUCAUGAUGAAGAUACUCGCCUUUCCAGUACACCUAAAGCAAAUGAUCAAUUCAUAGUGCCUUCUGAAUCUGAGGAAUUUAGAGAAUUAGUGCGCUCGUCCCAUAAAUUGCUCCAAUCAGUGUCCAAAACAUUGCAUCAGAUAAAGCAAUUGGAAGACAUAACACAGGAAUCGGAUAAAAUGGGUGGUACAUCAUUUAACAAUUUAGAGUGCCACUCAUCUCCGCUCAUGAAUAAAAGUAUUAUUAAAAACUCGCAAAUUCCAGAAGCUAGUUUAAAACAAUGGAUGCGAGAGUUAGCGGUUGCUAUACACAGCUUGCAUGGGAAAGGUGUCAUAUUGAGCGAUCUUCGUAUGGAUAAUUUGCUGCUUGGUUCAAAAGGUCAAUUAUUACUGACGUAUUUUUAUCAAAAUGAAGGGCUCAGUGAUUCCGAUAAUUAUAUGCACAAAGCUUACAGUCAGACAGCAUUAGACGGUCACUACGUGGCUCCUGAACGUCCACCCACCUUAAAAUCAGACUGGUGGAGUUAUGGCAUUAUACUCUACGAAUUACUAAUAGGAAUCUCCUUCAAAUUAGCACAUCCUGGCAACAUUGAUUUGUACGGCUUUGUACAAUACCCCGAAAAUAUUGAAAUAUCGGAGUGUGCUAAGGAUUUGAUAGAAACGCUUUUGCAACAAACGCCAGAGCAUCGUGCAGGUUAUGAACAAAUACAAAAUCAUGCAUUCUUCAUCGGUACGGAUUGGGAGACUUUGCAACGCAAUGAUGAGAAUCACAAGAAUAUUAAUAACGACUCAUAAACUGAUAUAUAAGCAUAUACAAACUAUAAUACAAAUACAUACAUAUGUAUGUACCCGUAUCGGCAACUGAGCGAAAGUAUUUCCCGUAGAUAUUACUAGCUCUAUAAUGAGGAAAAAAAAAUUAUUGAAAUAUCAUUUCAAAUUCAACAAAAUAUUUGUAAAACAAAGGAGGAUUUUGGAAAAACUGUAACUAUUUGAUAAAGAAAUACAAUUUCAGCAAUAUUUUUUUAUUUUCCUUUAGUGAAUAUGUUCUAAACAAGUUUUUAUCUAUUUGUUCCGUAUUAAACUUAUUAGAAAGUACAAACAAAUUUAAAUUAAAAGUAUUAACCAAAAGGAAUGUUUUUGUUAUUAAAAUUUCUUAUAAUAUUUAAAAAUUCUAAAUAUUUAUGGCAUAUAAAUUACUCAAUUAGAAAAUGAUGUAAUUAUUACUAUUCCAAACAGCUUAAUUUUUAAUUAUAUUGUGUGUAGAAAAACUAAAUUGUGUCAAUGUUUUACAAAUUGUACAAUUUAUAUAAUAUACAUAAAAGUAUUGUCAAUUUCACAACAGUUUGUGUUUAAAUGUGUAAAAAGGAAUUAAAAAAAAAAAUAAAGUAUGCUUCAUAUAUGUAUGCAUAGUGUAUGUA